GCAUGCAUGCAUGCAUGCGUGCGUGCGUCUUGCGCGCGCAUACAUGCCGGUUUGUAUGGGCCGGCGUGCUUGCGUGUGUCUAGUGCGUACGUGUUUUGUGAGCGUGUUUCUGUGUCGGUCACUGUGUGUGCGUGCACGUGUUAGCGUGUCUGCCUGCAUGUAUGUGUGAUUGUUUGUGUUUAUCAAUGUGCGCGUGCGUGCCUUUGUGUCUGCGCUUUGAGAGUGCGUAUAUUUGUGUGCGCGCGAGUGCGUUUUGUGUGCGUGCGUAUGUAUUGCAUAAGGCCGGUAGAGUUUUACUCGCAAUAAAACUCUUCCAAUUUGGUGCAGCGAGUGUUGCCGCCUGAAAGCCGAGUUUGGUUUCAAGCCAACCUGGACAACUGCUGUAUGAGGCGCUGUUUCUCAGGAGGAUCAGUGGGAAGGCGUCAGGUCAUGCAGAUGAUAGCAUCAAUUUCACAAUGCGCAGCCUUGGUGCCCUCCAUUAAGAGCAAGCCACUUGCGUUCGCCUUCAGGCAGAUGGUUGAUGUCUUCUAGGAAGCAGUUGGGAAGACUACAUUGAUGCAAGAUUCCAGCAAUGCCAUGCGCUGGC